rnacentral:rRNA from 1 species
UACGAAGGGGGCUAGCGUUGCUCGGAAUCACUGGGCGUAAAGCGCACGUAGGCGGCUUUCUAAGUCAGGGGUGAAAUCCUGGAGCUCAACUCCAGAACUGCCUUUGAUACUGGAGUGCUUGAGUCCGGGAGAGGUGAGUGGAACUCCGAGUGUAGAGGUGAAAUUCGUAGAUAUUCGCAAGAACACCAGUGGCGAAGGCGGCUCACUGGCCCGGUACUGACGCUGAGGCACGGAAAAGCGU